rnacentral:rRNA from 1 species
CGGACACGCUGGCGGCGUGGAUUAGGCAUGCAAGUCGGACGGUAGGGCUUUAUCGUAAGAUAGAGUUUGAGAGUGGCGAACGGGUGAGUAACACGUAGGAAUCUACCCUUAAGACGGGGACAACCCAGGGAAACUUGGGCUAAUACCGGAUGAGAGUGCGAGAGAUUGCAUUUAAAAGGAUGGCGAAAGUUAUCGCUUAGGGAUGAGCCUGCGGUCUAUUAGUUAGUUGGUGAGGUAAGAGCUCACCAAGGCGAUGAUAGAUAGGCGGCCUUAACGGGUGGUCGCCCACACUGGGAUUGAGAUACGGCCCAGACUCCUACGGGAGGCAGCAGUUGGGAAUCUUCGGCAAUGGGCGCAAGCCUGACCGAGCAACGCCGCGUGAGUGAUGAAGGUUUUCGGAUUGUAAAGCUCUGUCUUCCGGGACGAUAAUGACGGUACCGGAGGAGGAAGCCACGGCUAACUACGUG